UUUUAGCCUGCACCCUUGUAUAAAUACAUAAAGAAAACCCUCCUCUAACUCGCAUUUCAAAAACAAAAGUAAAAACCCGUCACAUUUUAACACAAGAAUCACCUGAUUCAUUUAGCUACUUCUUAUCAAAAGAAAAACUUUGUAUAAACAUAAAACAUGACUGUGACGUCCAUCCAAGAAACUCAAGAUCGAGUGAUCGCUGAUCUUGAAAUUGAACAGAAACCUAAGGAGUUGUCUUCGCCGGCAGUGAAGGAUUUAACAGAAGGUGAGAUGGAUAGAGAGAGGAGAUCAUUCAGGAAGUGGAAGAAUAAUAAUAAUAAUAAUAAUAAUAAUAAUAAUCAUAAUAAUAAAAAAAAGAUAGGGUUUCUGCAUAGCCAGGUGUUAAAGAUUAGAGAGGAAGAUUCACAUCUUGGUGAAGAUAGCAAAGAAAAGGUUAUGAAUAUUAACGGAUCAGGGUCUGCUUUUAAUCAAAAUAUGCAGCAGCUUCGACGCGUGGCUUCAGCGGUUGAUGUGGUGUUCUUUUCAAGACCCAUCUUGCCUUCCUCCCCUCUCAGCCGAAAAACCACUGUCAAACCUUUGCCCUGAGUUAAGUUAAAGGUUGGUUUUCUUUUCUUCUUUUUUAGUUCUUUCACUUUCUUGAUUAAUUUAGUCGUUUGUGCUUUGUUUUUUUUCCUCAAUUUUCAUUUUCUUGGUUACGUUUUCGUAUCUUCUUUUUCUUUUUCCUUUUCAAUAUAGAUUCUUGAAAAUCUGAUCGUCCUUGUAUAUGCUUAUUUCGGGAAAUUCUGUAAUGAUAUUUCCUAUCUUGUUGGUUCUACUGUAUAUGCUUAUUUCGGGAAAUUCUGUAAUGAUAUUUCCUAUCUUGUUGGUUCUACAUAUCUGUUUGGAUCCUGAGAAAACUAAAGAAAACACGAGGAAAAAUCAAGAUUUUGAAUCGAUGGAAUAAUUAAUGUUUAAUCCGAAAUUAAAACUUCAAUUUUUUUAUUUUCUUUUAGAUAGUUAAAUCUGUAUUUGUUUCUUUUAUAGCGUUUCCUUCCCUUUUACCCGCGCGAAAAUAUUAUCACGUUUUUUUUUUCUUUAAUUUAUUUAUUCGGGUUGUUAGCUUCUCGAGCUGAUUUCUUGGGGAAUUCGGGUGGGAAUAAGAUGAAGAUAUCUUGACCCGUUCGUUUUUUUAAAAAAUAAAAUAAAAUUUGUUUUGUUGUGGAUUAAUUAGUGUUGUUUUGUUGUGGCAGGAAGAGCAGGCAGCAGUAAGAGUGAAGGAAAAGAGAUAUGCAACAAAGUGAUGUGAAAAUUGGAGUCUUCUAUGGUUUUCAAUUACUUCUUUCUUAGAAGAAGAAGAAGAAGAAGAAGAAGAAGAAGUUAGGAUUAGGAUGUAGAGAGAUCAAUUAGUAGGAUAGGAUUUUGCAUGCAUGGUUAUCCAUCUUCCUUUUCUGUACAGUGAAGAAAAUCAAUUAGUUUUAUAAAUAAAUAAAAUCAUGUGGAAAAAUAAAAGUCAUAAA
rnacentral:lncRNA from 1 species